CUGCUGCCUCCCGUAGGAGUCUGGGCCGUGUCUCAGUCCCAGUGUGGGGGGCCUUCCUCUCAGAACCCCUACGCAUCGUCGCCACGGUGGGCCGUCACCCCGCCGUCUAGCUAAUGCGCCGCAUGCCCAUCCGCCACCGGAUCGCUCCUUUGGCCACCCGGAGGAUGCCCUCCGGUGGCGUCACGGGGUAUUAGGCCGCGUUUCCGCGGGUUAUCCCCCUGUGGCGGCCAGGCUGCAUACGUGUUACUCACCCGUGCGCCGGUCG
rnacentral:rRNA from 1 species